UACAUGUGGGGCAAGCGUUGUUCGGAAUUACUGGGCAUAAAGGGUGCGUAGGCGGCUUGUUAGGUCACUGGUGAAAGUUUUCGGCCCAACCGGAAAAUUGCCUGUGAUACCGGCGAGCUUGAGUGCGUGAGGGGUGGGGGGAACGAGCAGUGUAGCGGUGAAAUGCGUAGAUAUCGUAAGGAAGACCAGUGGCGAAGGCGGGUCUCUGGACAGUUCCUGACGCUGAGGCACGAAGGCCAGGGGAGCAAACGGG
rnacentral:rRNA from 1 species